GCAGUCGAACGAUGAAGUCCACUUCGGUGGUGGAUUAGUGGCGAACGGGUGAGUAACACGUGGGCAAUCUGCCCUUCACUCUGGGACAAGCCCUGGAAACGGGGUCUAAUACCGGAUAACACUCUGUCCCGCAUGGGACGGGGUUGAAAGCUCCGGCGGUGAAGGAUGAGCCCGCGGCCUAUCAGCUUGUUGGUGGGGUAAUGGCCUACCAAGGCGACGACGGGUAGCCGGCCUGAGAGGGCGACCGGCCACACUGGGACUGAGACACGGCCCAGACUCCUACGGGAGGCAGCAGUGGGGAAUAUUGCACAAUGGGCGAAAGCCUGAUGCAGCGACGCCGCGUGAGGGAUGACGGCCUUCGGGUUGUAAACCUCUUUCAGCAGGGAAGAAGCGAAAGUGACGGUACCUGCAGAAGAAGCGCCGGCUAACUACGUGCCAGCAGCCGCGGUAAUACGUAGGGCGCAAGCGUUGUCCGGAAUUAUUGGGCGUAAAGAGCUCGUAGGCGGCUUGUCACGUCGGAUGUGAAAGCCCGGGGCUUAACCCCGGGUCUGCAUUCGAUACGGGCUAGCUAGAGUGUGGUAGGGGAGAUCGGAAUUCCUGGUGUAGCGGUGAAAUGCGCAGAUAUCAGGAGGAACACCGGUGGCGAAGGCGGAUCUCUGGGCCAUUACUGACGCUGAGGAGCGAAAGCGUGGGGAGCGAACAGGAUUAGAUACCCUGGUAGUCCACGCC
rnacentral:rRNA from 1 species